rnacentral:rRNA from 1 species
CCUACGGGCGGCAGCAGUGAGGAAUAUUGGUCAAUGGACGAGAGUCUGAACCAGCCAAGUAGCGUGAAGGAUGAAUGCCCUAUGGGUUGUAAACUUCUUUUAUAGGGGAAUAAAAUGUGCCACGUGUGGGAUUGUGUAUGUACCAUAUGAAUAAGGAUCGGCUAACUCCGUGCCAGCAGCCGCGGUAAUACGGAGGAUCCGAGCGUUAUCCGGAUUUAUUGGGUUUAAAGGGAGCGUAGGUGGGUUGUUAAGUCAGUGGUGAAAGUUUGCGGCUCAACCGUAAAAUUGCAGUUGAAACUGGCAGUCUUGAGUACAGUAGAGGUGGUCGGAAUUCGUGGUGUAGCGG